GUCCCAGUUCGGACUGUAGUCUGCAACCCGACUACACGAAGCCGGAAUCGCUAGUAAUCGCGAAUCAGAAUGUCGCGGUGAAUACGUUCCCGGGUCUUGUACACACCGCCCGUCACACCAUGGGAGUCGGAAAUGCCCGAAGUCAGUGACCCAACCGCAAGGAGGGAGCUGCCGAAGGCAGGUCCGGUAACUGGGGUGAAGUCGUAACAAGGUAAC
rnacentral:rRNA from 1 species